UCAGGCUGGAUCCCAGGACCCUGAGAUCAUGACCCUUAUACGAGGAAGACAGACACUGGGCAGAAAGAGCUGCUAACCCAGGCACCCCUUAAUUGAUUUUUUGAAAGAAAAAAAAAAGCCAAGAAUAGUGCAAGAAUGCUCUUUUCAUAAAUUUCUACUAGGCCAACUGAAUAGCCAUAUGCUAAAGAGAGAGGUUUAUCCUUACAGGGUACCACAUACAAUGGAUUUACCAGAAAGGAUAAACACUUAAACAUAAGAGUAAAUUAUAACAUUUAGAUAAACAUAGAGAACAAUUCUUGACUUGUAUUUGGCAAAGAAUUGGUAGCUAAGACACCAAGAGCAAGAAUGGGAAAAAAAUAGGUAAUUUGGACUUCAUCAAAUCAGUGACUUUUGGGCAUUGAAGGAUGCCAUCAAGAAAGUGAAAACACACUUUGAAGCCCUUGUGGCACUUUUGCUGAGAAUAUAAAAUCGUGUUGAUGGUAUGAAAAACAAACUGACAGGAUAGUUUUUUUGAGGUGAUGAAAAUGUUCAAAAUUGUGGUGAUUGCAUAGAACUGCGAAUUUUUUUAGAACUACUGAAGUCUACACUUUAAUGGGGGGGGGGUGCAGCAUGUGCCUUACAUCUCAGUAAAGCUAUUCAAAUAAAGAAGUGCAUCAAGAGUUUUGCAAUGGGAAAGAGUACUGCAAUCCAGGCUUUAAGGCAUACAUGGAUUUCCAGGUUAAUUAAUUAAUGCUACAUCACCUCAUGGUGUGUGUGUGUGUGUGUGUGUGUGUGUGUGUGUGUGUUGUAAAAAACAAAGUUCAAAUUGAGAUAGUUUUUUGGAGUAGGGUUGUUUUUGGGGUCUGGAGCGAACAGCCAAGGAAGAAUUCUUGAGAUGUCUUAUGGUGUGCAAAAAGGCAAUUUUUUAAAGUACAGGGACAGGACCUCUGGGCAGAAAGAGCUGCUAACCCAGAAUUGUGAGGGGAACUGAUUAUAUACUUUGAGUUGGAGAGGUAAAGACAAAAGGAAGUUCCAGAAGGACUUUGGUCUUGCUAUUGUCAAACUAAAGUUGUUUUUUCCCUCUAGCAAAGCAGUUGGGUGCUUCAAAGCGGAAUGUUAUAAUCUGCCUACAUCAAGUAUUUGUCAAUGGGAUGCAGGUUAUAAGGACAUUUUAUCUACUUUCCUUCCAGCUUUGUUUCCCACAACAAAAGGAGUAAAUUGGAGAUCUAAUUGGCUUUAUUAAGUGAUUUGUAACUCUGGCAGCAUCCCAAAUAGCAAGAAGUGGGGUUUUCUGCUGAGUUAAAUGAAAGGGAAGUUUUUAAAGGCAAAGAAAGGGCACAAAGAAAGGAAUUUAUUAGCAAGGAAUGCAUUGUUUAGACAAGGCCACUUUCCUAAGGGGAGCAGAAGGGGGUGUAGCAAUAAAUUUCAUAGUAUGGCCAGGGAAAUUCCAUGUUGACUGAUUAAAGGUUUUAUGGGAGGCGGGGGGAUUUGAAACUGUAGGUAAGUCAGGUAUUAAGUAGUUUGUUGAUUUGGGGCCUUAAGUGGCUACAUCGUACGUCUGCAGUUUCUUUUUAACUGUGUGUGUGGUGGGGCUUAAGAUCUGAUGGGGGAAACAAAGGCAAAAGUAAAAUUAUUAAAUUUCCUCACUACCUACAGCCCAUUGACGAGUCCUUGAAACAGGCAGGGUGACAUUCCUCUAGGGACUCAACUGCCUGGAUGUUAAUACUUUGCUAAGGGCAAAAGGCACUUUUAGUCCAACCCCCAGGAUCCUGUAAAUCUACUUUGACAUAUAAAAAUUCCUUUGGACACUUCCUUUAUCUCUAUACUCCCUUUCUGCUGAUAGAUAUAUGUUGGCAUAUAUGUUGACAAUCAACCCCCAAGCAUAUGGCCCACCGAUAUACAUCUGAAGGGUCUCAUGACUAAGGUUUUAUUAGAUGGUAAUAAAUUCUCUUUUCCCAACAAUAGUUAGCCCCCUGAAGGUCCUGGAGACCUUGGUUCCAAAUUCCUUAGAGACUUAGGCUGUCCCCAACCCCCUCCCAACUUCAACAUAUAUAAUGGGCCACUCCUCAUGACCCCAGUGCAGUUCUUUCUGCCCAUGGGUCCUGUCCCUGUGAUGUGGGAAACAAAGGCAGAAGAAAAAUUAUUAAAUUUCCUUACUACCUACAGCCCAUUGACAAGAUCUUGAAACAAGUGGAGUGAGAUUCUUCUAAGGACUCAACUGCCCCGAAGUUAAUACUUUGCUAAGGGCAAAAGGCAAUCUUAGCCCAGAAUCCUGUAAGUCUACUUUGACGUAUAAAAAUUCCUUUAGAAUUUUACUCACUUAUUUAUUUAUAAAUUUAUUUAUUUAUUUAUUUAUUUUCUUCACUUUACUUACUCUCACAGGAGAGUGAGUAAAGCAAUAGAAGUUUAUUAAGCAAAGGUACAGAGAAAGUUCUCAGAAGUGAGAGGGGUCCCAACAGGGUUGCCACUGCGGGCUUUUUGACUGGCCUGUUAUUGGGAACCUAACCAGGGAACCCAAGGCCUUGAGACUUCUUUGUGCUGUCUCAAGUGUUUGACAUAUGACUGUUUUGGGGUCUGUUGAAUCUUUGGGAUUGUUUGGAAAACGUCAAAGGGAGAUACUUUGGAGUUAGGGAGCCUAAUUUAUUUUCUUCUCUGUUUUUGUUGUCUUAUCUCUGUUUUCUUGGGAAGGGUAGGAGCCUGUCUCUGGACUGUUUGGUGUCCUUGGGAUUUAUGGGAGCCCAACUCUGGGCCUUUCCCUUAUCUUUUCCUGCCUAGCCCCGUCUGUCCCUAACUCAUUCCUGCAUCACUGGGAUGGAGUCCUGCAUCAGGCUCCCUGCAGGGAGCCUGCUUCUCCCUCUCCCAGUCUCUGCCUCUCUCUGUGUAUUUCUCAUGAAUAAAUAAAAUCUUUAAAAAA
rnacentral:lncRNA from 1 species